rnacentral:rRNA from 1 species
UACGGAGGGUGCGAGCGUUGUCCGGAAUCACUGGGCGUAAAGGGCGCGUAGGUGGCUUCUCAAGCGCGCGGUGAAAGCCCGGGGCUCAACCCCGGGUCGGCCGUGCGGACUGGGAGGCUCGAGCACUGUAGGGGCGGGUGGAAUUCCGGGUGUAGCGGUGGAAUGCGUAGAUAUCUGGGGGGAAUACCAGUGGCGAAAGCGGCACCCUAGCGUUAGCCUGACGCUCAUGUGCGAAAGCGUGGGGAGCGAACGGG